rnacentral:rRNA from 1 species
CCUACGGGAGGCAGCAGUGAGGAAUAUUGGUCAAUGGCCGGAAGGCUGAACCAGCCAUGCCGCGUGAAGGUCAGUGCCCUAUGGGCGUUAAACUUCUUUUGUGCGGGAGCAAUAAUGGUCACGUGUGGCCAGACGAGAGUACCGUACGAAUAAGCCUCGGCUAACUCCGUGCCAGCAGCCGCGGUAAUACGGGGGGUGCAAGCGUUAUCCGGAUUUAUUGGGUUUAAAGGGUGCGUAGGCUGUGAGGUAAGUCAGCGGUGAAAUGCCCCCGCUCAACGGGGUGAAGUGCCAUUGAUACUGGCUGGCUGGAAUGCGGAUGCGGUGGGAGGAAUGUGUGGUGUAGCGGUGAAAUGCAUAGAUAUCACACAGAACAUCGAUUGCGAAGGCAUCUCACGAAUCCGCGAUUGACGCUGAUGCACGAAAGCGUGGGUAUCAAACAGGAUUAGAUACCCCGGUAGUC